rnacentral:rRNA from 1 species
AACAGGAUUAGAUACCCUGGUAGUCCACGCCGUAAACGAUGUCGACUUGGAGGUUGUGCCCUUGAGGCGUGGCUUCCGGAGCUAACGCGUUAAGUCGACCGCCUGGGGAGUACGGCCGCAAGGUUAAAACUCAAAUGAAUUGACGGGGGCCCGCACAAGCGGUGGAGCAUGUGGUUUAAUUCGAUGCAACGCGAAGAACCUUACCUGGUCUUGACAUCCAGAGAAUCCUGCAGAGAUGCGGGAGUGCCUUCGGGAACUCUGAGACAGGUGCUGCAUGGCUGUCGUCAGCUCGUGUUGUGAAAUGUUGGGUUAAGCCCCGCAACGAGCGCAACCCUUAUCCUUUGUUGCCAGCGGUCCGGCCGGGAACUUAAAGGAGACUGCCGGUGAUAAACCGGAGGAAGGUGGGGAUGACGUCAAGUCAUCAUGGCCCUUACGACCAGGGCUACACACGUGCUACAAUGGCGCAUACAAAGAGAAGCGACCUCGCGAGAGCAAGCGGACCUCAUAAAGUGCGUCGUAGUCCGGAUUGGAGUCUGCAACUCGACUCCAUGAAGUCGGAAUCGCUAGUAAUCGUGGAUCAGAAUGCCACGGUGAAUACGUUCCCGGGCCUUGUACACACCGCCCGUCACACCAUGGGAGUGGGUUGCAAAAGAAGUAGGUAGCUUAACCUUCGGGAGGGCGCUUACCACUUUGUGAUUCAUGACUGGGGUGAAGUCGUAACAAGGUAACC